rnacentral:snoRNA from 1 species
CCAGCAUGGAUACCCUGAGAGGUCACUCUCCCCGGGCUCUGUCCAGGUGGCACAGGGGCACAUAGGGCUGUGCCCAGUAAUGUGCAGUCCCAUUCCAUGACGUUGGAGAUGAAGCCAGGCUCUUGAGCCUGCACCUGCAUAUUCCUCCAGCUUCUCAGAGUCCUAUGGACAAUACCUAAGGAGACAAGCCAUGCAGGAAACAUAU